rnacentral:rRNA from 1 species
GUAGGGUGCGAGCGUUAAUCGGAAUUACUGGGCGUAAAGCGUGCGCAGGCGGUAAUGCAAGACAGAUGUGAAAUCCCCGGGCUUAACCUGGGAACUGCAUUUGUGACUGCAUUGCUGGAGUGCGGCAGAGGGGGAUGGAAUUCCCGGUGUAGCAGUGAAAUGCGUAGAUAUGCGGAGGAACACCGAUGGCGAAGGCAAUCCCCUGGGCCUGCACUGACGCUCAUGCACGAAAGCGUGGGGAGCAAACAGGAUUAGAUACCCUGGUAGUCCACGCCCUAAACGAUGUCAACUGGUUGUUGGGUCUUAACUGACUCAGUAACGAAGCUAACGCGUGAAGUUGACCGCCUGGGGAGU